rnacentral:rRNA from 1 species
UACGGAGGGAGCUAGCGUUGUUCGGAAUUACUGGGCGUAAAGCGCGCGUAGGCGGCUUUGUAAGUUAGAGGUGAAAGCCCGGGGCUCAACCCCGGAACUGCCUUUAAGACUGCAUCGCUUGAAUCCAGGAGAGGUGAGUGGAAUUCCGAGUGUAGAGGUGAAAUUCGUAGAUAUUCGGAAGAACACCAGUGGCGAAGGCGGCUCACCUGGACCGGUACUGACGCUGAUGGCGCGAAAGCG